UACAGAGACUAGUAGAGUUCUGCUGC
rnacentral:piRNA from 1 species